UACGUAGGUGGCAAGCGUUGUCCGGAUUUAUUGGGCGUAAAGAGCGUGUAGGCGGCCUGGUAGGUCAGCUGUGAAAACUCGAGGCUCAACCUCGAGACGCCGGUUGAAACCAUCAGGCUAGAGUCCGGAAGAGGAGAGUGGAAUUCCCGGUGUAGCGGUGAAAUGCGCAGAUAUCGGGAAGAACACCCGUGGCUAAGGCGGCUCUCUAGUACGGUACUGACGCUGAGACGCGAAAGCGUGGGGGAGCGAACGAGGA
rnacentral:rRNA from 1 species